CACCGCGGUUAGACGAGAAGCUCAAGUUGACAGACAGCGGCACAAAGUGUGGUUAGGGAACUUUAACAUGACUAAAGUCAAACGCUUUCAAAGCAGUCAUACGCAUCUGAAAGUAUGAGGAUCAUUAACGAAAGUAACUUUACUCCACCUGAAUCCACGUAAGCUAAGACA
rnacentral:rRNA from 1 species